UACAGAGACGGAGUUUGGAGCUGAGAUG
rnacentral:piRNA from 1 species